rnacentral:rRNA from 1 species
UACGGAGGGUGCGAGCGUUGUCCGGAUUUAUUGGGUUUAAAGGGUGCGUAGGCGGCCUAUUAAGUCUGGGGUGAAAGCCCGCUGCUCAACAGCGGAACUGCCCUGGAUACUGGUAGGCUUGAGUACAGACGAGGUUGGCGGAAUGGACUGAGUAGCGGUGAAAUGCAUAGAUACAGUCCAGAACCCCGAUUGCGAAGGCAGCUGACUAGGCUGUUACUGACGCUGAGGCACGAAAGCGUGGGGAGCGAACAGG